UGCUAGUUGAACGCGUUAAAAACGAGUAGCGAACGGGUGAGUAAUACUUGGGAAUCUACCUUAUAGUUUGGUUAAAUACCUUAUACAAAAAGAAUUUUCGCUAUAAGAUGAGCCUUUGUAGGAUUAGGUAGUUGGUAAGGUAAUAGCUUACCAAGCCGAUGAUCCUUAACUGGCCUGAGAGGGUGUACAGUCACAUUAGAACUGAGAAAGGUCUAAACAUUUACGAAUGGCAGCAGUGGGGAAUCUUGAACACUAGGCGAAAGCUUGAUUCAGCGAUAUAGAGUGAAUGAUGACAGUCAUUUGAUUGUAAAGUUCUUUUACCAAGAAAGAUUUUGACUUUACUUGGAGAAAAAGCCCUGGCAAAUUUCGUGCCAGCAGCCGCGGUGAUACGAAAAGGGCUAGUGUUAUUCGGAAUAAUUGGGUGUAAAGGGUGAGUAGGCGGUAAUCAAAGUUAAUCAUUAAAUCUUAGUAGCAAUUACUAAAUCAAUUUUUAAUAACAAAUUACUAGAGUAAAAGAGAGGAUUGUAGAAUUUCAAGUGGAGAAAUAAAAUUCGUAGAUUUUUGAAGGAAUAUCGAAAGCGAAGGCAACAAUCUGGUUUUAUACUGACGCUGAUUCACGAAAGCCUAGGUAGCAACCGGGAUUAGAGACCCCGUUAGUCUAGGCUGUAAACGAUGAGUACUCAUUUUUGGAUAGAAUAUA
rnacentral:rRNA from 1 species